AUACGGAGGGUGCAAGCGUUAAUCGGAAUUACGGGGCGUAAAGCGCGCGUAGGCGGAUUGUUAAGUCUCAUGUGAAAGCCCUGGGCUCAACCUGGGAACUGCAUGGGAUACUGGCAAUCUAGAAUACAGUAGAGGGUAGUGGAAUUUCAGGUGUAGCGGUGAAAUGCGUAGAGAUCUGAAGGAACAUCAGUGGCGAAGGCGACUACCUGGACUGAUAUUGACGCUGAGGUGCGAAAGCGUGGGGAGCAAACGGGAUUAGAAACCCUAGUAGUCC
rnacentral:rRNA from 1 species